ACGGAGGGUGCGAGCGUUGUCCGGAAUCAUUGGGCGUAAAGGGCGCGUAGGUGGCCCGGUCAGUCUGUGGUGAAAGCGCGGGGCUCAACCCCGCGUCGGCCAUGGAUACUGCUGGGCUGGAGCACUGUAGAGGCAGGCGGAAUUCCGGGUGUAGCGGUGGAAUGCGUAGAGAUCCGGAAGAACACCGGUGGCGAAGGCGGCCUGCUGGGUUCUGGCUGACACUGAGGCGCGACAGCGUGGGGAUCAAACAGGA
rnacentral:rRNA from 1 species